AUUGAACGCUGGCGGCAUGCCUUACACAUGCAAGUCGAACGGUAACAGGUCUUCGGAUGCUGACGAGUGGCGGACGGGCGAGUAAUACAUCGGAACGUGCCCGAUCGUGGGGGUUAACGAGGCGAAAGCUUUGCUAAUACCGCAUACGAUCUACGGAUGAAAGCGGGGGAUCUUCGGACCUCGCGCGGACGGAGCGGCCGAUGGCAGAUUAGGUAGUUGGUGGGAUAAAAGCUUACCAAGUCGACGAUCUGUAGCUGGACUGAGAGGAUGAUCAGCCACACUGGGAGUGGGACACGGCCAAGGCGCCUACGGGAGGCAGCAGUGGGGUAUUUUGGACAAUGGGCGAAAGCAUGAUCCAGCCAUGCCGCGUGCAAGAUGAAGGCGUUCGGGUUGUAAACUGCUUUUGUACGGAACGAAACGCCUCUUUCUAAUAAAGAGGGGUCAUGACGGUACCGGAAGAAUAAGCACCGGCUAACUACGUG
rnacentral:rRNA from 1 species